UGAGCAACGGUCACAUGUCGCG
rnacentral:siRNA from 1 species